GUCCAUCACUUCCAGGGACAGCUGCUGACCACCCUCAUGCCCCAAGGAGGAGGAAGAAGAGAAGGGGGAGCAGAGGGAAGGCUCCCAGCCCAUAGAGCAGCCAGGCCUGCCGGGAGCAGCCAUGUGCUGCUCCAUCCUCCCAAGUCCGCGCACACUCUAUGCACCCGGACGUUGCACCAGAAAGAUCUCAAUGCAAACCUAGUGAGGGGGGGAACAAAACCUGCUGCUAAUUGAGGGAUUUUGGAGUAGAUUUAAUUAGGGCCAGAGCACUGGCGCAGGCUGCUGCUGCCACCUGCAGCACUCUCCGCAGCCGCUGGCGUGGGCUCUGGGGACUCCAGGCUCCCGCCCAGGCCUGCCUGGGGUCCAGACAGGGAAUGAGGAACCCCGCGAGUCCCGCAGGCUCACCCCCCUCACACACCCACCCCCACAAACCCGUUAUUUCCCAGCACAAUAAGCACCUCCAGCAGCGACGGAACCAAGGGCUCGGCCAAAAAAUAAAGAGGAAGAAAAGCCAUAUUUUCUCCCUGGAGUCGGAUCGUCCCGAUCUCCCCUCGGAGGAAUCAAGAGGGGCCGAGUUAUCUAAUUAAUGCUGGCAGAAGCGGGAGGCCGAGGGCUGGGGGGCGGCGGCGGCCCACAAAGGCGGCGUGGGGAGCGGUCUCCCCGCCGCCGCCGCCGGCAUCCCCCGGCAAUGGGGCCCCACGCUGGGAGUGAGGUUGGCAGCUGGAGGCCGCGCCAUGACCCCCGUGCCAAAAAACACCACCUAAAACCCACAGGGAGAACAUGGAGGCAGAACAACAGAGCCCAGCACACGUCAGGCAUCACAAAACCCUGACGGCACAAUCCCGGCCCCGGGAUGCUGCAGGUAUUAAAUGAUCCGUCGGAAAC